rnacentral:lncRNA from 1 species
GAAGGAGAUCUCCAAGGGCUGUGUAUGGACAUCCUGGGCUCACUGGAUGUCUCCGUGAGAGGGAUGACCAAACUCCUGUGGCCACGGCUGCUGCUGUAUGUGGUGCCAGCCCAGUACACCAGCAUGCUGAUCCCGGUCUCCCGCUGUGUCCAAGCGCUGGCUGAGGGAGGGGACCUGAUGGUGCGGGAGAUCGAAGAACUGGAUCCCCAUUUCCUCAGCUCCAUGUUUCAAGGUAGGAGCAGAAACUCCCCCAGUGAGCUCUGUUGACCUGUGUUAGCACCCAGAAGGGACAGUGGAGGUGUGUGUGGCAGGGCACGUCGUGUCUGUGUCUUACGCAGCACUUCUUUCUCCCCACAGGCCCACUGCUGACUCCCCAGACACUGCUGGCACGCCUGUUGGUGAGUAGAUGCUCCAGAGGCCGGUGCCAUGAGCCCCAAGGA